AACGAACGCUGGCGGCGUGCCUAACACAUGCAAGUCGUGCGAGAAAGUUCCUUCGGGAGCGAGUAAAGCGGCACACGGGUGAGUAACACGUAGGUAACCUGCCCCCCAGUCUGGAACAACUAGAGGAAACUCUAGCUAAUGCCGGAUGAGACCACGAUCCCUUCGGGGGUUGCGGCCAAAGAUGGCCUCUACUUGUAAGCUAUCGCUGAGGGAUGGGCCUGCGGCCAUUAGCUUGUUGGUGAGGUAACGGCUCACCAAGGCUGUGAUGGCUAGGGGACCUGAGAGGGUGACCCCCCCACACUGGGACUGAGACACGGCCCAGACUCCUACGGGAGGC
rnacentral:rRNA from 1 species